rnacentral:rRNA from 1 species
ACUCCUACGGGAGGCAGCAGUGGGGAAUUGUUCGCAAUGGGCGCAAGCCUGACGACGCAACGCCGCGUGGAGGAUGAAGAUUUUCGGAUCGUAAACUCCUGUCGAAUGGGACGAACAGAUUGCGGGUUAACAGCCCGUAGUCCUGACGGUACCGUUAAAGGAAACCCCGGCUAACUCCGUGCCAGCAGCCGCGGUAAU